GAGCACCCGCGGCUCGGAGCCAAGCUUCCCUGGGCUGGAUGGGAGGCCUCGAGUUAACUUCGUGUUGGACGGUCCAGGAGGUGGGAAAUGAACCUACGAUGUGAGCUGAGGACUACUAGAACCAACCUGAAACUUGGCGUCCAUGUAUAUCUUACAACGUGUGCGUGUGGGUAUGACUAGGGAUGGGAGCAGAGGAAGUCUGAUAGAACCAGAUUCCAUCGUUUGAACAGCAGCUUGAGCGUUCGAGAAUGUCCCUUCUGUACCCGCCUUCUCUCAUUUUUUUGUGUCAACUCUUUUAUCAAACUUCCACCGCACUUUAAAUUCUCCAGGUAUGUAAAAGCCUGCAGUAAGAGAGAAGAGAAGAAGAGGUGAGACACAAUGAGAGGACUUCUUGGACUCCCCACAAUCCCGGGCUCCAGUCUAUUUCUGAGACGUUCUUCAUUUCUACUCGUAGGUUCUGUGACAAAUCCUUGUAUGCUUAAUCCUGCCAUUUUGCUUAGAUUUUCAAUGGAUUCCUAUCAUUGGCCACAAGAAAAUUAUCCUAAACAAUGUAUUUUAAUGGGGGGAUUGGUGUCUGUAGCAGUUAAAAACUCAAAAUAGCAGUAGCUUAAAUCAAAUAAAAUGCAUUCCUCUUAUGUAAGUGUA